CAGGCUUAACACAUGCAAGUCGAGGGGCAUCAGGAAGAAAGCUUGCUUUCUUUGCUGGCGACCGGCGCACGGGUGAGUAACACGUAUCCAACCUGCCCUUUACUCGGGGAUAGCCUUUCGAAAGAAAGAUUAAUACCCGAUAGCAUAAUGAUUCCGCAUGGUUUCAUUAUUAAAGGAUUCCGGUAAAGGAUGGGGAUGCGUUCCAUUAGGUUGUUGGUGAGGUAACGGCCCACCAAGCCUUCGAUGGAUAGGGGUUCUGAGAGGAAGGUCCCCCACAUUGGAACUGAGACACGGUCCAAACUCCUACGGGAGGCAGCAGUGAGGAAUAUUGGUCAAUGGGCGCUAGCCUGAACCAGCCAAGUAGCGUGAAGGAUGAAGGCUCUAUGGGUCGUAAACUUCUUUUAUAUAAGAAUAAAGUGCAGUAUGUAUACUGUUUUGUAUGUAUUAUAUGAAUAAGGAUCGGCUAACUCCGUGCCAGCAGCCGCGGUAAUACGGGGGAUCCGAGCGUUAUCCGGAUUUAUUGGGUUUAAAGGGAGCGUAGGUGGACUGGUUAGUCAGUUGUGAAAGUUUGCGGCUCAACCGUAAAAUUGCAGUUGAUACUGUCAGUCUUGAGUACAGUAGAGGUGGGCGGAAUUCGUGGUGUAGCGGUGAAAUGCUUAGAUAUCACGAAGAACUCCGAUUGCGAAGGCAGCUCACUGGACUGCAACUGACACUGAUGCUCGAAAGUGUGGGUAUCAAACAGGAUUAGAUACCCUGGUAGUCCACACAGUAAACGAUGAAUACUCGCUGUUUGCGAUAUACAGUAAGCGGCCAAGCGAAAGCAUUAAGUAUUCCACCUGGGGAGUACGCCGGCAACGGUGAAACUCAAAGGAAUUGACGGGGGCCCGCACAAGCGGAGGAACAUGUGGUUUAAUUCGAUGAUACGCGAGGAACCUUACCCGGGCUUAAAUUGCAGUGGAAUGAUGUGGAAACAUGUCAGUGAGCAAUCACCGCUGUGAAGGUGCUGCAUGGUUGUCGUCAGCUCGUGCCGUGAGGUGUCGGCUUAAGUGCCAUAACGAGCGCAACCCUUAUCUUUAGUUACUAACAGGUUAUGCUGAGGACUCUAGAGAGACUGCCGUCGUAAGAUGUGAGGAAGGUGGGGAUGACGUCAAAUCAGCACGGCCCUUACGUCCGGGGCUACACACGUGUUACAAUGGGGGGUACAGAAGGCAGCUAGCGGGUGACCGUAUGCUAAUCCCAAAAUCCUCUCUCAGUUCGGAUCGAAGUCUGCAACCCGACUUCGUGAAGCUGGAUUCGCUAGUAAUCGCGCAUCAGCCACGGCGCGGUGAAUACGUUCCCGGGCCUUGUACACACCGCCCGUCAAGCCAUGGGAGCCGGGGGUACCUGAAGUACGUAACCGCAAGGAUCGUCCUAGGGUAAAACUGGUGACUGGGGCUAA
rnacentral:rRNA from 1 species